rnacentral:rRNA from 1 species
AUUGAACGCUGGCGGCAGGCCUAACACAUGCAAGUCGAGCGGAUGAAGGGAGCUUGCUCCUGGAUUCAGCGGCGGACGGGUGAGUAAUGCCUAGGAAUCUGCCUGGUCGUGGGGGCUAACGUCCGGAAACGGGCGCUAAUACCGCAUACGUCCUGAGGGAGAAAGUGGGGGAUCUUCGGACCUCACGCUAUCAGAUGAGCCUAGGUCGGAUUAGCUAGUUGGUGGGGUAAAGGCGUACCAAGGCGACGAUCCGUAACUGGUCUGAGAGGAUGAUCAGUCACACUGGAACUGAGACACGGUCCAGACUCCUACGGGAGGCAGCAGUGGGGAAUAUUGGACAAUGGGCGAAAGCCUGAUCCAGCAAUGCCGCGUGUGUGAAGAAGGUCUUCGGAUUGUAAAGCACUGUAAGUUGGGAGGAAGGGCAGUAAGUUAAUACCUUGCUGUUUUGACGGUACCAACAGAAUAAGCACCGGCUAACUUCGUG